ACGGAAGGCAGCAGUGGGGAAUAUUGCACAAUGGGCGCAAGCCUGAUGCAGCAACGCCGCGUGAGGGAAGACGGUCUUCGGAUUGUAAACCUCUGUCCUUGGUGACGAAGAAUGACGGUAGCCGAGGAGGAGGCCACGGCUAACUACGUGCCAGCAGCCGCGGUAAUACGUAGGUGGCAAGCGUUGUCCGGAUUUCUGGGUGUAAAGGGAGCGCAGGCGGGAAAGCAAGUCAGCUGUGAAAUAUACAGGCUUACCCUGUAGACUGCAGUUGAAACUGUUUUUCUUGAGUGGAGUAGAGGUAAGCGGAAUUCCGAGUGUAGCGGUGAAAUGCGUAGAGAUUCGGAGGAACACCAGUGGCGAAGGCGGCUUACUGGGCUCUAACUGACGCUGAGGCUCGAAAGUGUGGGGAGCAAACAGGAUUAGAUACCCUGGUA
rnacentral:rRNA from 1 species